GAUGAACGCUAGCGGCAGGCCUAAUACAUGCAAGUCGAACGGUGUCUUCGGACAUAGUGGCGCACGGGUGCGUAACACGUAUGCAACCUACCUUACAUUGGGGGAUAGCCUUUCGAAAGGGAGAUUAAUACCGCAUAAGACAGUAGCUGGGCAUCCAGCAGCUGUUAAAGAUUUAUCGAUGUAAGCUGGGCAUGCGUCCAAUUAGCUAGUUGGUGAGGUAACGGCUCACCAAGGCUAUGAUUGGUAGGGGAACUGAGAGGUCAAUCCCCCACACUGGCACUGAGAUACGGGCCAGACUCCUACGGGAGGCAGCAGUAGGGAAUAUUGGGCAAUGGACGCAAGUCUGACCCAGCCAUGCCGCGUGCAGGAUGAAGGCGUUAUGCGUUGUAAACUGCUUUUAUACAGGAAGAAACGACUCUUGCGAGAGGCAUUGACGGUACUGUAUGAAUAAGCACCGGGCUAACUCCGUGCCAG
rnacentral:rRNA from 1 species